AGUGAACGCUGGCGGUAGGCCUAACACAUGCAAGUCGAACGGCAGCACAGUAAGAGCUUGCUCUUACGGGUGGCGAGUGGCGGACGGGUGAGGAAUACAUCGGAAUCUACUUUUUCGUGGGGGAUAACGUAGGGAAACCUACGCUAAUACCGCAUACGACCUACGGGUGAAAGCAGGGGAUCUUCGGACCUUGCGCGAUUGAAUGAGCCGAUGUCGGAUUAGCUAGUUGGCGGGGUAAAGGCCCACCAAGGCGACGAUCCGUAGCUGGUCUGAGAGGAUGAUCAGCCACACUGGAACUGAGACACGGUCCAGACUCCUACGGGAGGCAGCAGUGGGGAAUAUUGGACAAUGGGGGCAAGCCUGAUCCAGCCAUACCGCGUGGGUGAAGAAGGCCUUCGGGUUGUAAAGCCCUUUUGUUGGGAAAGAAAAGCAGCAGGUUAAUACCCCGCUGUUCUGACGGUACCCAAAGAAUAAGCACCGGCUAACUUCGUG
rnacentral:rRNA from 1 species